CGCGGCCUAUCAGCUUGUUGGUGGGGUAACGGCCUACCAAGGCGAUGACGGGUAGCCGGCCUGAGGGGGCGACCGGCCACACUGGGACUGAGACACGGCCCAGACUCCUGCGGGAGGCAGCAGUGGGGAAUAUUGCGCAAUGGGCGGAAGCCUGACGCAGCGACGCCGCGUGGGGGAUGAAGGCCUUCGGGUUGUAAACCUCUUUUACCACUCACGAAGGCCCCUGGUUUUCUGGGGGUUGACGGUAGGUGGUGAAUAAGGACCGGCUAACUACGUGCCAGCAGCCGCGGUAAUACGUAGGGUCCGAGCGUUGUCCGGAAUUAUUGGGCGUAAAGAGCUCGUAGGCGGCCUGUCGCGUCUGCUGUGAAAGUCCGGGGCUUAACUCCGGGUGUGCAGUGGAUACGGGCAGGCUUGAGGUAGGUAGGGGAGACUGGAAUUCCUGGUGUAGCGGUGAAAUGCGCAGAUAUCAGGAGGAACACCGGUGGCGAAGGCGGGUCUCUGGGCCUUACCUGACGCUGAGGAGCGAAAGCGUGGGGAGCGAACAGGAUUAGAUACCCUGGUAGUCCACGCCGUAAACGGUGGGCGCUAGGUGUGGGAUGCUGUUCACGUGUCCCGUGCCGUAGCUAACGCAUUAAGCGCCCCGCCUGGGGAGUACGG
rnacentral:rRNA from 1 species